AUGGAAAAUAAACUUCCAGAAUCUCUUGGUCACAGUCCUGGUACUGUUAUUGCGUUUGCAGCAGGCAAUACAAUAUUCUGCCUAUCAUCAACAUUCGAUUCAUACCAUCUAAUUCAAAGAGAAGCAAGUGUUCAAGCAACUUCAAAGUUAGGCACAAAACAAAUGAAAUGCAUUUCUAUUCACAAAACAGUUCAUGACAGGCUAAUAUUCAUCCAAGCAACAAUACACAUGCCUUCAAUUCACCAAAUUUAA